CCUACGGGUGGCAGCAGUGAGGAAUAUUGGUCAAUGGGCGCGAGCCUGAACCAGCCAAGUAGCGUGAAGGAUGACUGCCCUACGGGUUGUAAACUUCUUUUAUAAAGGAGUAAAGUGAGGCACGUGUGCCUUUUUGUAUGGAAUUUAUGAAUAAGGAUCGGCUAACUCCGUGCCAGCAGCCGCGGUAAUACGGAGGAUCCGGACGUUUUCCGGGUUUAUUGGGGUGAAAGGGAGGCUAGAUGGGUUGUUAAGUCAGUUGUGAAAGUUUGCGGCUCAAACGUAAAAUUGCAAUUGAUACUGGCAGCCUUGAGUAGAGUUGAGGUAGGCGGAAUGCGUGGUGUAGCGGUGAAAUGCUUAGAUAUCACGAAGAACUCCGAUUGCGAAGGCAGCCUACUAAACUGCCACUGACAUUGAUGCUCGAAAGUGUGGGUAUCAAACAGGAUUAGAUACCCUUGUAGUC
rnacentral:rRNA from 1 species